GAAACCUCCAUUCCACUGUCUACGUGUGAUGAUUAUUUCUCCCUCCACAGAUAAUAUCUAUCAAAUCCCAAUGGUGAAGAUGUGGAUAAAUGAAUCGUGAAUCACAUAUCAUAAUUUCAUGACAAUCCAACGGUUAACGAGUCCGGGAUCGCAGUUUUACUGAGACAGUUUUGGGUUUCUGCGGGAAAAGAAAAAGCUACGAUGCAAAGGAUAUUUCUCUCAGCUUCGACAUGUUUUCGUAAUUCACAACGGUGAGAAUGUUUGAAAAUUAUUUCCUAACUUGAAGCUCAAAUUUCACGACGAUCCAACGGUGAAUGAAUAUGAGAUGGUCAUUUUUCUGAGACAGGUUUGGUGGUAUGCGGGA
rnacentral:lncRNA from 1 species